UUUUGGAUCCGACUGAGUGGCGAACUGGUGAGUAACACUGGGGUAACCUGCCCAGAAAAGGGGAUAACACCUGGAAACAGAUGCUAAUACCGCAUAAUAAUCAAAACCACAUGGUUUUGAUUUCAAAGAUGGCUUCGGCUAUCACUCCAGGAUGGGCCCGCGGUGCAUUAGCUAGUUGGUAAGGUAACGGCUUACCAAGGCGAUGAUGCAUAGCCGAGUUGAGAGACUGAUCGGCCACAAUGGAACUGAGACACGGUCCAUACUCC
rnacentral:rRNA from 1 species